CUUUUCACUAUGAUUGUGAAAACAAACAAACUCUGCAGUUAAUAAAAGAAGGAGAAGUUCUGAAAGCCAAUAUUCAGAAAUGGGGCUACAAAGUGGAGUCCACGACAUGUGAGAGUGGAGAAGAGCAAAAUACAGACCACUUACUACAGUGCAGCCAGAUUCCUGCCACAUGCACAAUGGAAGACCUUCUUACAAUGACACCAGAGGCACUCCCCAAGUGGCCAGCUUCUGGGAGGAAGCAAGAAACAGCUGUACCACCCUCUGAUUCACCACUUUUUAUAAAAUCAAUAUGUGGCAUCAAAAUAUUUGAACGAUGGCAUGUAUGGAUAGAUCUUUUCCUUGACAUCUCAAUUAGUUCAUAAGAUUGAUACACAAAGACCAGAACAUGAACAUAGUUGAAAGAAAAUGCCAAAUAAAACCUGAGAAAAAAAUCACAUAAAAUCAUCAGAAUUCUUAAGGUUUUGUUAAAAAAAAAAAAUAAGGUGACCCCGUCCCUUAGACACACAAAGGACUUCCGUCUUCCGAGAACUCUGGAGGAUCACACUGCCCCAUCAUUAGUGGAAUAUGAAGCUCAUCUUGUUUUUAAAAGUAAUCAGAAUAAUGUUGUGGGGAUGCCAUUAAAGAAAUUCAAACCAACCU